rnacentral:siRNA from 1 species
UGGAUACCACGGUGUACUCCUA